rnacentral:rRNA from 1 species
GGAUGAACGCUAGCGGCAGGCUUACUACAUGCAAGUCGAGGGGCAGCACGUUUCGCCGCAAUGCGGGAUGGUGGCGACCGGCAAACGGGUGAGGAUCGCGUACACAAUCUUCCCAGAGCAGGGGGAUAACCCGGGGAAACCCGGACUAAUACCCCGUAGUUUACUUUGAAGGCAUCUUUGAGGUAAUAAAACUCCGGUGGCUUUGGAUGAGUGUGCGUCCCAUUAGGUAGUUGGCAGGGUAACGGCCUACCAAGCCUUCGAUGGGUAACUGGUGUGAGAGCACGACCAGUAACACGGGCACUGAGACACGGGCCCGACUCCUACGGGAGGCAGCAGUAAGGAAUAUUGGUCAAUGGACGCAAGUCUGAACCAGCCAUGCCGCGUGAAGGAUGAAGGUCCUCUGGAUUGUAAACUUCUUUUAUAGGGGGCGAAAAAAGGGUUUUGUAACUCACUUGACGGUACCUUAUGAAUAAGCACCGGCUAACUCCGUG